AGAGAGAGACAUGCGCGCAUAUCAAUAAGCGGAGGAAAAGAAACUAACAAGGAUUCCCCUAGUAACGGCGAGUGAAGCGGGAAGAGCUCAAAUUUGAAAUCUUAAAGGGUUUCCCUUUACGAAUUGUAGUUUAAAGAAGUGUUUUCUGUUGAGGUUUUGGUAAAAGUUCUUUGGAAUAGGACAUCAUAGAGGGUGAGAAUCCCGUAUUUGACCUUUACUUUCAACUUUGUGAUACACUUUCAAAGAGUCGGAUUGUUUGGGAAUGCAGUCCAAAAUGGGUGGUAAAUUUCAUCUAAAGCUAAAUAUUGGCGAGAGACCGAUAGCGAACAAGUACCGUGAGGGAAAGAUGAAAAGAACUUUGAAAAGAGAGUUAAACAGUACGUGAAAUUGUCAAAAGGGUAGCGUUUGACACCAGUGUUGUUUUUCUGAAAAUCAAUUAAAGAACUGUUUAUGCUAAGCUGUUUAGACUUUAUCAGCUAUCUGUUUAGUUUUGAGCUUUUCUUUAAUGCACUUUUCAGUUAACAAGUCAACAUCAAUUUCUUUUGCUGUAAAAAAGCUUGAGGAAGGUGGCUUGAGAUUCGUCUUAAGUGUUUAUAGCCUCUUGCCUAUGCAGUCGGAGAGAUUGAGGUCUGCAGCGUAGAUCCUUCGGGGCUAAAUGCAUUUGUGCUAAGUUAUAGCAUUUUAUAGACAACUUGUUGACUAUGAUUUGUCUUGUAGCUUACUCGCUUAUGUUAUUUUACCUACGCUUAGGAUGUUGACGCAUGAGAUAUACGC
rnacentral:rRNA from 1 species